CGACCCAGGAGAACUGGAGAACACCGACCCGCUGCAUUCCUCCGCCUUCGGUCUGAUCCCGGUUUUAGGGGUUUAAUAGGUCUCGGGGGAGGGUGCCGGUAUACCGUGAAUGACCCCGAAAGUACAGCCAUGGUGGUGCCGAACUCGUGUCUCGCUGCCUUCGCGGUGCUCCGUCAGAUCGAGCCGAUCAUCGUGCUCGAGCAGCUGGGCAGCACUCUGUUCGACACCGCCCUGCAGUUGGUAGUCAAGGACCGGUGCGCCAACGCCACCUACAGCGAGCUCUCCAGGGAGGCUAGCCAGCAGAAAGCCAUGACGGACUUCUUCAUGACCUACAACCUCAUCAUCCGGCUGGUUCCGAUCUUACCCUCGCUGCUCCUGGCCAGGUUGAGCGACCGCGGCAGGAGGAAAGCCCCCAUCGCGGUGCCGCUGAGCGGGUACCUGCUGUCCAGGCUCGCCCUGCUCCUGGUGGUCAUCUUCCGCCUGCCGCUGGAGGUGAUGUUCGGCGCGGCCGGUCUCUUCGGGCUGUCCGGCGGGUUCUGCGCCUACUGGCCCGGCGUCAUGACGCUGGCGUCGCUGGGCUCCACGGCGGCCGACCGGUCCAAGGUGAUGAUGAGAGUGGAGCUGCUGUACGGGAUUUCAGGCCUGGUGGGCAGCUUGGUGUCGGGUCAUCUGUUCCUGCUGUACAGCUCCAGUCUGGGGCAUGGGAUCGUCCUGCUCAUUGUGAGCACACUGCUGCACCUGCUCUGCCUCAUACUGUCCGUGGUCCUGCUGCAGGUGAAACGAGCGCCCAGCGACGAGCCCGGUGACGACUGCCGCCUCCUUCGCGACGCCUCCGAGGACGCCCGGGUGGCCGCGGCCACUGCGGGGAAGGACAAGGCGAACGUGCUCCUGCUGUUCGCGGCCGCCGUGCUGUACAACUUUGCGGUGGGCGGGGCCAUGGAGAUACUGGGCGUCUUUGUGAUGAAGGAGCCGCUCAGCUGGACCGCCACUCAGGUUGGCUACGGCAACGCAGCCGGCUGCAUGAUCUUCCUCACCAGCUUCCUCGGCGUCCUCCUGCUUCGCCGCUGCGUCGGCGACGUCGUGCUCAUCCUGGUCGGCAUGGUGUCCUUCGCCUCGGGGAUCUACUUCAUGUCCUUCGUCACGGCAACCUACAUGUUCUACCUCGGUAAGACGGAGUGGCGUCGACGGGGCCCGGGUUUGUGGUGGGUCGUGGGCAGCUCGCUCGCUCAGCCUGUUUGCUCUCAUCCCGAUGCCCACGAUCAGAUCUUUGCUCUCACAGCAGGUUCCAGCUUCCUCAUACGGCACCACUCUCACCUCCCUGCAGUUGGCUCUGAAGUUUGUCGGUCUGGCCUACAUCCCUGCCUUCACUAAGAUCUAUCAGAGAACCCUGGACUGGUUCCCCGGCUUCGUCUUCACGCUCUCCAGCAUCAUUACAGUACUGGGAAUGAUACCUAUCAGCAUCAUUGGCUGCAGAUCCCCUCAGAGGCAGAAGUGCCAAAGGACUCAGGCGGCACUGACUCACCAGCAGUGAGUUGGCAUCGGUCCGAGGCAGACGGGGAACUGAAACAUGAAAUGAGCAGAAGGAGAGUGACUUCCUAUACAGUAACUGUAGGCACUGCGUGAAAGGAGUUCCUACACUCGAGCUGUUAGAGGAGGAACAAACAGAAGUUUUAUGUUCAUGUGAGCAUUUUGUGAGACCUUUUUAAAAAAAAAAAAAAAAAAAAAAAAAACUAAAAUUAACCUGUGACAUUCUGGAAUAAGGCCUGUGUGAUGGCUUGCUCUGACUGGAGGUAAACUGCGUGAAAAUAUCUCAAACCGGUCUGACAAAAAGUUUGAAACUGUUCAACUUCUGACUGAGAUGCAGGCAGGCAUCAUCAACCAGUGGAAUUCAUUAACCCGUGAAAUUGGUCCAAGCAGCCUUUAAAGGAUUAGAGACAUGUCCACAGGAACACACCCAGGGUGAUCUCAGCAUUACGCAGACUUUGCAGUGAAUGUGUCAGGCAUGACAAGUAAGUUGUGAGUGCUGCCUAAAAUAGGCUGUUUUUUUUUUUUAAUACUGUGAAAAGAUUUGACUUCACACGUUUAAUGAAGUUUGCUUUUGUGAACCAGCUCAUGCUACAGGAUCACAUCAUUUCAGUUGUAAAUUUCUAAUAUAUUUGAAUCAAUGCUGGAACCUAAUGGGAGGUGAGAUAUUUCCUUCCUAAAGCCUUGCACACCCAAGCUAGAUGGAAACCGGGAUUUCAGGGAUUUACACACACUUGCAAUUUAAAUUUUUGUCAAACGGGCACCUCUGGUGAUGCACCGUAUGUAAUCUUAUGAGGGUUUUAAACAAACAUAUGUCAGAAGUUCAGUUUUAUUAUGAUUGCAGACUUUGGCUUUAAGUUGUUUUCUUCUGAGUUGAAACUUGGUCGUUAAUCUGUAGAUUUGUCACGACCAAAUCUGGGUCAGUAUCUGACUUUAAAUCGUGUAGUUUGUUCGGCUGCUGCUGGGUCACUCCAGUGUUUCUGUACUUGAGGAUGGUUUAAAGACCUCUUGACACUCUCUGUCGGUUAAUUUAGUUGCAGUUAUUUGCGUUACGGUUCCAAACUUACAUUUGUAGAUACCGAUUACCAGUCACACGUAAUUAAUGACUGUACACACAACUCAGAAUUUGUAUGAGUAUGGUGUCAUUUGAAGUUCUCACAUACUGACUUAUCUUUAAAAAUAGAAAUGCUAUGUACAUAGAUUAAAGUGCAUUUAUUUUAAUUCUAUAGUAUAUAGAGUGCAACCCUGCAGGUCAGGAACUGUUGACAGAGCAAAGGCAAAAUUUGUUUAAAAAUGACAUUUUUUUGAAAUUGGUGUUUUUAUGAUUUUCUUUUUUUUCACUUUUGAUAUUUUUAACCUCCUUUAAUUUUGCUUUAGGUUGUAAAGCAAUAACCUAUUUGAAAGGUACUAUAUAAGGUUCGAUCAUUUUAACCUAUUGCCUGAAUUUUAGCCUGUGUGAUUUUGUCUGGUUAACAGCCACACAUUAAAUUAUCACCAUCUUUUUUCAAAAAGUUCAGAAACAAAUUAUGAAAUAAUUACUAUGAAAUUUAGAAAUGAAAUACUUUUGUAAUAACUACAGUUAGAUAUAAUAAUUUUGACAUCUAGAGUAAUUAUGCCUGAAGUGACCUUGUCCCCAUGAGAAGAGGUCUGGAAAUCUCAUGGCGUGUGGCCUGUCAUUUUGUUAUAUGGUACGAGACGUAGCGGUAACGUAACGGUAGAGCAGAAGGGAAGAAGAUGCAGCCUGCAUUACUGUUAUUUUUAUUUUAUACAUGGAUUUAUUAUUGCACUUUUAUGUAUUUGUGACACUUUUAAAAAAGCACUUGACAAAAGGGAUGUUGUUUAUGUCACAACGCAGAAGGUACAUUUUACAUUGGUACAAAGGUUAGAACAAAAGGAAAAUAUUUGCAGUAAUGAAUCAGCAAGCUGCAAUUAAGUUGUAUAAAAGUCUAGUUUUUGUUUUUUUUGGUUUUUUUCAUUCCUCAAACAAUUGUUUAAUAAUUUGAUUUUGUCUGUAUGAAACUAACUGGAUGCAAUGUUUUAUGAAAUGAUAAAACUCGUAUCUAAAC